GUGGUAAGUUGAAAGUGUCCUUUAUUUUUCUUCAUCAGACACACUAGAUAGAGCAUUUAAACCAGAUCACAUAACCCAGAUCACAUAAACCAGAUCAUACAACCCAGAGCACAUAACCCAGAUCACAUAACCCAGAUCACUUAACCCAGACCACUUAACCCAGAUCGUUUACCCAUAUCACAUAACCAAGAUCACAUAUCCCAGAUCAUAUAUCCCAGAUCAUACAACCCCUAUCAUAUAACCCAGAGCGCAGAGCCAGGAGCGGGGGGCAAGGGGCAGGGUGUAUUAGGACGUGACGCGACUUCACCGGACCAAGAGACAAACGGCCCUUUUCUUGGGCCCUAGUGAGCAAUUCUGUGGACUUUUUGUCAAGAGUUGCAUUCACAAAUCGUGCGUGCACAUAGCAUUUUGUAAUAUAAAAGAACCCUAAAACAUUUCUAGAAAUCGCCGCCCACAGCGUUAGUUUUUUCUGACAUCAGCAAGGGUCUGUUUUCAAUCUGUGACGACAGCAGUUAUUUUUAUCGAUAAGAAAAUGUCCCCAACCUAACCUUUGAGCGCUUUGAGGGAAUUGGUUCAUUUAAUAGACAUCAUUUUAUAAAAUCCAAAACAAGCAAAUGAGAUGAAGGGAUAAAACCCCUUUUUAAACCUUUACCAGAUCCAUUGAAGAGCUAAACACCAGAAUCAGUGGUUAAGCACAAUAAAUGGCUUUAUAUACAGAAAAAAAGUUGUUUAAGCGCGACGAUAUACAGUAUCGAAACCGUACAGAAGCUCUCUAUCAUUCACACAGCAUGGUUUGGAAGGUGGACACCUUGAAACAACAGUGAAGACACCUGCUACAUAAGCUUAACUUCAGUAUGUAAGAGGUAUGAAAGUGAACUGCUUGCUGCAACCCUCCAAAACAUGGACGCCUUCAAGCCAUUACUGCUAUGGUGGUUCUUUACCGAUGGCAACACCGUCAUCCUUCGCAGAACGCGACGGAAAUCUAUAUUUCUUGGCGACGAGGCAAUUCAGGAGGGGGGUGCGGUGGUUUUCUGUUUUGCUUCGUGAACUAAUCGCAGCUCCCUGAGAUGAAGACAACAAUUAAAUGAAGGAGAGGUUGGCAGACGACAACAGAAGGCAUUCCAAGCGUAAUCACUGAUGGCCACAAUGAGGCGUCUAGUGUACAGCAACGGAAGAUCACUGAGCCAAUCCGAUCGGGUGUUGGUCGCGGUCUGGUCGGGGCGGUUACGACCCGUCUGUGCUACAAAGGGGAAACGUUGAGUUUUCGCUCUUCCGAUAACCUCGGCCGCGCGACGGAAAUGACUAGCCGUAUACUGGGAAAGGUGUUAAGUCAGUAUCGUUCCCGUUAUGAUGAAAAGUUAAAGCAGUUUUGUUUUAUUACACCGUUAACCAAACGUCCAACCCGCGCGGGGGUUUGUUGAACCAGUCCGUUAAAGGAUGCAGUACAUCGAUGCGCUAAUGCCUUUACACUUAGAUACAAAAAACCCACACUUUGUAGUAUGUUGGAGGGUGAGAAGAACUGCUACACGGAUACACUUUACAAAAUGCAGCUAAAGUACUUUAUAUGACAGUUAAAGUACCAUCAGAUCUUAUCUUUGAAUAAAUAUUCUAUCUCGAAUAAAUAAAAAACUAAAACAGACAUCUUCAUUUUUCCUAUAUUCUAGUUAUUAUGAAAAGUCAAACUCUUCUCUCGCACUCUCGAUAUUUAUGAUCCCAUGUGUUGCAGGCCCCGCCCCUUUUGGACUCGAGUCCCAGAAGAGAACAUUCCAAAAUAAAAGUCCCAACGUAACAAGUGUAUUCUGUUCCCGAGGGAGUUUCACCGGUCGUGGUGUAACCAUGGCGAGGAGCACGGGGGGAGGGGGGCUGUGGGACGCUGUACAGUAAUAUUAUUAUUAUGGAUUAUUAUGUUGUUGAUGGAAGGUUUCAUUCCAUUGUAGGAGGUGAGGAAAAAUAUAAAGAGAGAGAGAGAGAGAGAGAGAGAGAGAGAGAGAGAGAGAGAGAGAGAGAGAGAGAGAGAGAGAGAGAGAGAGAGAGAGAGAGAGAGAGAGAGAGAGAGAGAGAGUAAGAGUGAGAGAAAGAGGAAGCGGGGCAAGCUGUCCACAGCUUGUCUGACAUCAAUCAUUGCGGUUGGAUCUUCAUCCACCGUCGAUCACUGGACACAUAUCUGGUUCUUCAGGCUGUUAGGGAACACAGGGAACAAACAAUGAAUAAAAAGCAACCAACGCACACGGCGGCCAUCUUAGAACAGCUGACAACGACAACAGUGCUUUAACAGUCUUUAAGUGUUCAGGUAAAACAUUACAGAGAACCGGGGAGCAUUCACUCUCUGUUCCACUUUCACUUUAAGUUCUUUGAAGUACUUUGAAGGACAGGUGAUGCAUUCCGGGUUUCCUAGGGUAUAAUUACAUAUACUAACUAAGUAAUAGUAAUAACACAUUUCAACACCAGGGGCAGUGCGAAGCUUAUACCUGACAACCGUAGAUACAGCGGGAGCCUCAAACACAGACACCUGACACGCACACACGUACACAGCCGUUCCACCAACCUGACAAACACACACUCACACACCUGACACACACACCUGACAAACAUGCACACGCACGCGCACAAAAACACACACACACACACACACAACACUAACUACUGAACGUUGUCGGUGGACCUUUAAACCUUUUAACACCACACAACAGUCAAGAAGUGUGUGUAUGUGGGACCAAAAGGUUAGAAAAAUCAAAUGAAAAAUAGUCCCAGCUGGCGAAGCCUGUGUGUGCUUCACUCUGUUUAUUUUUAUUUAACCUUUAAUUCAACCACAGAGAGGACGACGCGCGCACACACAAAAACGAAGUGUGUGUGUGUGUGUGUGCGUGUGUGUGUGCGUAUGAACCAGGUCAGUGUGUGUCAGUGUGCCCCCCCACUCCCGCUCAUGGUUUAUUCUGAUUGAUCUCCAGCGCCGUGCGGCUGGGUAACUCCCGCUGUGUGUGUGUGUGUGUGUUUGUAUAUAUUUGUGUGUGUGGGUGUGAAUAUGUAAGUAUAUAUUUCUGUGUGUAUAUUUCUGUGUGUAUGUGUGUGUGUGUGUAUAUAUGUGUAUGCGUGUGUGUGUAUGCAUAGGUGUGUGUGUGUAUAUAGGUGUGUGUGUGUGUGUGUGUGUGUGUGCAUAUAUAGGUGUGUGUGUUUGUGUGUGUGUACAGGUGUGCGUGUGUAUAGAGGUGUGUGUAUGUGUAUGUGUGUAUAUAUAUAGGUGCGUGUGUGUGUAUGCAUAGGAGUGUCUGUAUAUAUAGGUGUGUGUGUGUGUGUGUGUGUGUGUGUGUG
ensembl:lncRNA